AAAUAAGAGUUUCCUGAAUCAUGAAUCUCAGCAGCUUGGAUGCUGUUAGCCCAUUGUGUACUCUACAGUGUCUAUCAUAUAAUGGAUAAUGGUUGCUGCUAGCUCAAUUGUACUCAACAUCUGAAGAUUCAAUGGCCUCAGAGUCUACAUGAUGGAAGUCCUGCCACUGUUUUCCUGUAUCUGUAGCUUGGGCUUGAAGACUUCAUAGUUUUCAUCAUCUACAUUCCUCAGGCAAUCCAUAGCUAACAAUAAGGAAAAGGCUGAACAGAUAAAGUGUUGAGAAAACAGUCAUAAUGAUAGCAGACAUACACCUGCCCACGCUCUGCAGCAGAUUUAUGGCCAACACAGCCGAUUUUGCCAUCUGGGUCAAAGUCAUAUGUUCACUGGAAAUAUUUUGGUUUAACAGUUAUUGGAUCCAGCGAAUCUCUGGCAUCACCAACCAGUGUGAGAGAUCGCUUGACCGAGACUUGAAGAUUAUUUCCUUGAAGUGAUUAAUAGCUAUCCCACCCUGUCUGCCUUCUACACCAGACAGUCUUGAAGAACCUACUGCAGUGCCCAGGCCACACAGCUAAUCCUGGCAUUUGCUUCUUGAGAAAUUCCACAGGAAGUUGCCAUUUGUAAUGGUUAAUAUUCAUUGUCAAGAUGGGAAGAUGCACUCUGAAUGUGGGCAGCAGCACCCCAUGGGCUUUUGCCCCAGACUAAAUCAAAAGGAGACAUGACAGAAUUAAGUUCAGCUGCAGCAUUAAUCUCUCUCUCAGCUGCCUGGGUACGGAUGCAGAAUGAGCUAAGCAGGUAGAUGCUUCUCCAGCCAAGCCUUCCUCCCCACAGGAACUGAAUCCUCAGCUAGGAGCAAUGGCAAACCCUUCCUUCCUUACACUGACUUAUUUUAUUUUAUUUUUCGGAUAUUUGACAAAGUAAUGAGAAAACUAACAAACACAUCACUAACCACAAAGCUCUGCCCUUCCUUCCCUCUGCACACUUCUCUAGGACCUCUUGUUGUCAUUUUGGGAGGCAGACAGCAACUGGUUUGAUUCCUUAGAGGGCAGAGCAGAGUGAAAUGGAAGGUUACAGAAGCCCGGCCCCUGCUGAUUCUUGUGAAGAGAAAUGAGUCCUUUCCUCUUUGCUCAAUUCGAGAUGCACCACAGAGCAGUUAUGGAUAGCAUUUAUCUUUCAAUGCCUGCUUCCCUGAAAAAGAAGAUGGACUAUUUGUUCUGGGGAGUCUUUCGGGCCCCUUGAGCUUUAGAACUUAACCAAAGAGAAAAACACAUAGGAAUGUGUUUAAAAAUGGAAAAAUAUUUGUUAUAGGUAAUAAAAUAUUUCCUAAUAUCUA